rnacentral:rRNA from 1 species
UACGGAGGGGGCGAGCGUUGUCCGAAGUUACUGGGCGUAAAGCGCGUGUAGGCGGGUUGCCAAGUCCGCUGUGAAAGCCCGAGGCUCAACCUCGGAGGGUCGGUGGAUACUGGCAGUCUUGAAGUUGCUAGGGGGAGAUGGAAUUACCGGUGUAGCGGUGAAAUUCGUAGAUAUCGGGAGGAACACCGGUGGCGAAGGCGGCGACCUGGGUAGAUACUGACGCUGAGGUGCGAAAGCGUGGGGAGCGAACAGG